CAACCUACGGGAGGCAGCAGUGGGGAAUAUUGCACAAUGGGGGAAACCCUGAUGCAGCAACGCCGCGUGAAGGAAGACGGUUUUCGGAUUGUAAACUUCUUUUCUUAGUGAAGAAGCAAGUGACGGUAGCUAAGGAAUAAGCAUCGGCUAACUACGUGCCAGCAGCCGCGGUAAUACGUAGGGGGCAAGCGUUAUCCGGAUUUACUGGGUGUAAAGGGAGCGUAGACGGCAAUACAAGUCGGAAGUGAAAUACCCGGGCUCAACCUGGGAACUGCUUUGGAAACUGUAUGGCUAGAGGGCUGGAG
rnacentral:rRNA from 1 species